rnacentral:rRNA from 1 species
UACGUAGGGGGCUAGCGUUGUCCGGAAUCAUUGGGCGUAAAGAGCGUGUAGGCGGCCCGGUAAGUCCGCUGUAAAAGUCAAAGGCUCAACCUUUGAAUGUCAGUGGAUACUGGCGAUCUCGGGUCCGGAAGAGGUGAGUGGAACUCCUAGUGUAGAGGUGGAAUUCGUAGAUAUUAGGAAGAACACCAGUGGCGAAGGCGGCUCACUGGUCCGGUACUGACGCUGAUGUGCGAAAGCGUGGGGAGCAAACAGG